UACCUGCGGAGGGAUCAUUA
rnacentral:rRNA from 1 species